rnacentral:rRNA from 1 species
GUGGGGAAUAUUGGACAAUGGGCGAAAGCCUGAUCCAGCCAUGCCGCGUGUGUGAAGAAGGUCUUCGGAUUGUAAAGCACUUUAAGUUGGGAGGAAGGGUAGUAACCUAAUACGUUGCUACUUUGACGUUACCGACAGAAUAAGCACCGGCUAACUUCGUGCCAGCAGCCGCGGUAAUACGAAGGGUGCAAGCGUUAAUCGGAAUUACUGGGCGUAAAGCGCGCGUAGGUGGUUCAGUAAGUUGGAAGUGAAAUCCCCGGGCUCAACCUGGGAACUGCAUCCAAAACUGCAUGACUAGAGUACGGUAGAGGGUAGUGGAAUUUCCUGUGUAGCGGUGAAAUGCGUAGAUAUAGGAAGGAACACCAGUGGCGAAGGCGACUACCUGGACUGAUACUGACACUGAGGUGCGAAAGCGUGGGGAGCAAACAGGAUUAGAAACCCCUGUAGUCC